ACAUAUACGCUGAAGGAGCUCAGUAGCAAUUUUGCCCUUGUUAUCCAGAAAGCUGGGGGUUGAUGCGACCUAGCACAAACAAAACUUGCGAAUUACACUCCGGAGUAUCUUAGGUAACACUAAGCGGGAUAGCAUACGAUAUUAUUGCUGAGAGUGGUAUGGAUAGUGACUGCAGCACUAUUCAUGCAAAUUGGGUGGUAACACGGUUAAUAAUCGUCCCUGUG
rnacentral:ncRNA from 1 species